AAGACUUUAAGUUAAAGAAACUGAAUGCCUUCAAAGCAUAAAAUAAUAAGAUUAAGUCUUA
rnacentral:tRNA from 1 species